GUUAACUUUUCCAGUAACUAACUUAACCAUCAUGUGGGAUUUUUCGAAUGAUAGUCAAUAUCAUAUCUAGCAAUAAUUCAGUCUGAUAUGUCGUUAUGAAUGUAGAGUUUUAGUUUGAAUGAAAUAUCAGACGCAAGUAGCUUAGCUUAAAGUGGCUGUUACCAUGCAGGCUGAAGGCUGAAGUUAGCUAGCAGACAGACACAGGUGAAAGUUGUUAACGUUAUCAGCUAGUUAGUAACAUUACUUUGCGAACUCCAUGGGGCAUGGGUAGUUAACAUUAAACUUAAUACAUGUAGUGUUGAUGCAUAAUAUGUAGUGUUGCUAUAACUGUUAAGAGGACCAGUAAAACAAAUUAAUGAAGUAGGCUGAUGUGUAAGUUAUCUCACCCCUAAUUUAGGAACUGUAGUUUUGCAUAGUCAUGCUCAUAGAUCCGUCAUAUAGUGGAUGUGAAAGGGGAGCAUUUGGGGAAUUUCAAUUACCAGAAAUAUCAUGCCGAUAAGUAAAGGGAUCUUUAGUUUGUGAAGGGUAGUGUUUGGCUAAAUGGUAUUCAUUUUAUAGCCUUUAUUUACCCAAUGUUUGGUGACUUAAAUUGAGGCAUGUGUUUAUUUAAGAUGCAUGUGAGUGUAGUAGUGCUUCAGUGAUGGUCUUUUCAUGUUCUGUGUGUUUUGCAAUGUAUUAAUUAAUGUAAGCCUCUUUCUGUUCCCUCUGUUAGUAGGUGGUGUGAGGACUGCUGCCCUGAGAACGCUGUGUCAGAGACACUUAGGCUGUGUGCAUUUUGGAAUGUUCCAAAUGUGUGUCACUUCCAUAAGGAAGAAGUUCCAAGCCUGCAAGUGAGUUCACUCACCAAAUAGAGACACACGCAUAUAGCAUUUAAUAUGUGUGCAUGUACUGUAUUUGUGUCUGUAACUGUUUAGUUUAUCCCCUCCUUUCAUGUGUCUGUUAUGACUUUGUGGGCUCAACUGUCAACAACUGUCCAGGGCGAAGUCGGUCUACCCUGAUGGCACUACCUGAUGAUGCCUGUUAGCCAUGGCUGCUGCCCUCAACAUGGUGAGCCAUCCAGAAGUCCCAGCCUGGAGCCAGAGGCUGCUAUUGCAAGUCAGAUGGGAGAUGGCCUACAGUAUGUUAGGCAUCAGAAAAAGUGGUGUUUGCAUGAAGGCAGAGUUGCCGCAGGCAAUUAUGAGAUUAGACACUUGACAUUUACUGCGAAAGGUACCAUCAGAGCACCUCUCCCUACC